AUUGAACGCUGGCGGCAGGCCUAACACAUGCAAGUCGAGCGAGCGGCGGACGGGUGAGUAAUGUAGGGGGAUCUGCCCGAUAGAGGGGGAUAACUACGGGAAACGGUGGCUAAUACCGCAUACUACAGGAUGAACCCAUAUGGGAUUAGCCAGUAGGUGGGGUAAAGGCUCACCUAGGCGACGAGCCCUAGCUGGUCUGAGAGGAUGAUCAGCCACACUGGGACUGAGACACGGCCCAGACGCCUACGGGAGGCAGCAGUGGGGAAUCUUCGACAAUGGGCGAAAGCCGGAUGCAGCCAUGCCGCGUGUAUGAAGAAGGCCUUCGGAUUGUAAAGCACUUUUAUCGGAGAAGCGUUACCUGCAGAAGAAGCACCGGCUAACUCCGUGCCAGCAGCCGCGGUAAUAC
rnacentral:rRNA from 1 species